UACGGGGGGGGCAAGCGUUGUUCGGAAUUACUGGGCGUAAAGGGCUCGUAGGCGGCCAACUAAGUCAUACGUGAAAUCCCUCAGCUUAACUGGGGAACUGCGUGUGAUACUGGAUGGCUUGGAUUUGGGAGAGGGAUGCGGAAUUCCAGGUGUAGCGGUGAAAUGCGUAGAUAUCUGGAGGAACACCGGUGGCGAAGGCGGCAUCCUGGACCAACACUGACGCUGAGGAGCGAAAGCCAGGGGAGUAAACGGG
rnacentral:rRNA from 1 species